rnacentral:lncRNA from 1 species
CUCGGCGUGUUCUCCAGCUGUUCCCGAGUAAAGAACCAGCGAGAAGAAGCUCCACGGCCCGACGCCAUGACACUUCCUCCUCCGCCCGCUCCUUCAUUCACCCCCCGCCCCUCCUGGCUCGCGGACUCCCCGCCAAGGCGCGCGACCCCGCCCCACUCCGCUCGCCGUAGACCACGCACCACCCUUUUUCACCACCGCCUCCGCCCUUGCGCAUGCGCGGGGCCCGCUCUACCGACUCGCCCUAGUCUUUUGCUUUCUUUUUCUGCCCUCGGCCUCGCUCUUGCGCACGGGACCACAAUGCUCCGCGCCGCUUGUCAUUGGGAGGCGCCGAAGGUGGAGAGGUCGGCUCGGAAGGAAAAGCAAUCACAGGAAUAUAUAAAACAUGAGCAGAAAGAGGCCUUUGGAGAAAUCUGGACCAGCAUUCUCAUUUUACGGAUGAGGGACCACGGCCCAUGGAGGUUUCCAUAGAUGAUUGGAAAAACCCAAGAGUUGGUCCUCUGUUCCAGACCCCACACAGACACAAACCUACAAGCCAAGGGAGCCAGUAUUUGGCCAUUCGUCCAUCCAUCUGCAUGUCCCAGGGAUGCACGAACAGGGAACACUUCAGCCUUUCGGCUGCCUUCAAAGAAGCAAUGAGAGAGAGAGAGAGGGUUACUUUGAUGAGUGAGCAGAUACCAGGUACUGUUUUGGGGAAACUGCUUUUCUCUGAGUCUAUAUUGGUCUGCACAAAUAAACUAAAAUGCUUUUUAAGUUGUUUUAUGAUCUAUAUAGAAGAGAUAUUGACAAACUUCUCCUGCUUAGAAAAUAAAAGGGACACUUGGAAUUAACAAAGGGGGUUGGUAGAUUUACCAUUGAGGUUGAUGAACUUAAUAUAUCAUCUGGUAAAACAAGCGUCAGGAAAUAUCCAUCAUUCAAAUGUUUUGGCUGACAGCAAAAUGCUCAAGGACUAAUCCCACAGCUGAAAUGUAGGGGAAAAUUUCCCCUACAUUUGGCUCCUUCUGGCUCCUACUUGGUCUACACUUUUGGAAGGACUGCUGAGAUUGUAUCCUUGGAGUCAGGGCGAGAGUGCCCCCUCCUUUUCCCCACUUGGAAACCAGAGUUUGUGGAAAGUGAAGAAGUGAUGUGCUGGAGCCAGAGGCUCAGUGCUGGGCUGGGGCUGGCUGGCCUGACCCAAGCCACCUGGUUACUCAGAGCCCAGCACUGGGUGGAAUCCCUGGGGUCUACAGGCAUUCACCCAUCCCCAGAAGCCCAGAUGAGUCUCUGAACAGUUGGCUGUGAGUGAGAUGACCUCAGAAAUGGAAGAGGUCAGUGCCUUAGCCAGACAGGCACUGACAUGAAUGUCAUAGGCAUGCUCCAGGGCCUUCUGAGAAAUGGAAAUACCAUCUGGAUGGAAUGACCUUUAUGCAACAAAAAGUUUAAUUAAAAGAAGUCUCCUCAACAGGCAUUGAAUAUUAGUGCUCGUCAAGAUUCAAAAGAGAUUUCCCUUAGAAUAAUUCCUCACCACAUAUAUUGAGGUUCUGGAGUGAUUCAUCCUACCCUCAUACAUAAAUGUUUGUGCUAACCAGGCUGAUGCAAUGUGACUUGUGUACAUAAGCAUUUUUAAAAUGGAAAAGCAAUUCUGGGACAACAAGGGAUUCUGGAAGUGUCAGGAAAAGGGUAAGUUGAAGAAAGGACUUUUAAUUCAACAGGUCUUGGGUAGCAGAAGAGAUAUAAGCCUUUUAAAGAGAGAGAAGCUAAUUGGUUUCUGAUAAUAGGUGCCUGUUGGAAAGAAAAUAUUGACCUCUUGGGAUGGUUUGGGUUUGGCAAAGGUGCAUGGUCAUGGUAUCUCAGUGGGAUUUGACUCCUCAUUUGGAUACAAGUUUAUUCUAUGUGCCUCUGGUGGUUCUUUUCUUUUUAAAAUUUUUCCUUUUUAUUUUUUUGUUAACUUUUAUGUUAAGGGUACAUGUGCAGGUUGGUUAUAUAGGUAAAUUGCAUGUCACAGGGGCUUGGCAUACAGAUUAUUUUAUCACCCAGGUAAUAACCAUUGUACCCAAUAGGUAGAUUUUUGAUCCUCACCCUCCUCCCACCCUCAUUUCUGUUCAGUUCAAAUUAACAUAUUGUUGAUCUCCUUCUAUAUGUGGGGUUUGUAGAGAAUAGAAAAAGAAGUUAUACUCUCACAAUUAUAAUUAACAUUGACUGAGAACUUAUUAUGUGCCCAAGCUGUUAUAAGAAUUUUAUAAUUAUUAACUAGUUUAAUUUUUUGUGAGAUGCGCACUUUUACUACCCUCAUUUUAUGGAGAAGAAAACUAAGGCAGAUAGAAGCUAACUUACUUAGGCCUUGUGGCUGAUAGAUGGUGGAGCUGGGCAGUUGGCACUACCAUUCAGUCUGCCUUAUACCAAUAACGAAGUUGUUUUUGCAACUGAAAACUGACCUGAGCAUGUAUGAUUGGGUUUACUCACUAAAAAGGGAGGUCUAGGAGAUAAAGGGGACAGUUAGACCUUUGGAGUACCAGGAUCACCUUGAGAUGACAAAGCCAACCUGGCUCAUGAUAAUUCAUUUCAGCACAUUAUUGACGCAAACUAGAGAGCAGAGAGGCAGGCAAACCUUGCUAACCAAACAAAUAUGCUGCCACCCCCAGGACAUCAUAAGUCACCUGGGGACAGGAUGUGCUCCUGAAUCCCUUCAGAGACUGGAUGUCCUCAAAACAGCCCAGUUAGAAGGAUUGAUGGGUCGAGCUAGUCACACAAAUGAAAAUAUCCAUGUGGACCUCAACCGGCUGCUGUUGCUUCCUAAGUCCCUUAGUAAUUCAUAAACCCAAAUCCAAUGAAUGCUAAAAUGACUUGCAGCUGAAGUCUCGAUCACACUGUGCUGAAACAACUUGGAUGCAUAAGUAAAUAAAUCCUCUUUCAAAGCUCAUUAAAGUUUCUAGAAAACAUUCACUGCAUCAGCUAAACCACUGCAGCCAGUAAGCUUCAGGGAGUUCAGUAUAUUGAGGAACAUUAAAUCUUUCAAGUCAUUAGAAGGCAAUUUAACAGGCAAUCUCCUGACUGGUGGGCAGUCGCCAUAGAUACAAACAUGGAAAAUUUUUUGCCUGUAGUUAGACCUCAGUAAAUACUAAAUGAGUAAAUGAUCAGUAGUCACAGUGCCUGGUGAGUCCACAAACAUCUAUUUAAGUCAUUAUUAAAGAUUUUGCAUUUAUAAUGAAAAUAAUAGAAAGCAAUAUUAUUAUAAUUCUAGGAGGGAAAUAAAAAAUUAAAAAAUGCAAUUGAGUAAAGAAUUAUGCAUCAUGAAUCCUGGUACUGAGAUGAGAAGGUUUGGUUAUAGAAAGAGUUGAAAGUGGAGGAGGAAGAAGAAGACUGAUGGAGAUGACUGUGGAACUAUGGACACUUGAAGUUGGAUAUUUCAGAAAUGAAUGGCACUGAAUUUUUGAACAUACAUUUUACCAUGAGAUAUUUUAAGUAUAGAAAGUAUAAACAAUAACACAAUGAGCAUCCCUAUACCCACCACCUAGUUUCAUCAAAUGUUAACAUUUUCAUGGUAUUAUUUUUUAUUAGGUAUUUUAAAGUACAUUUCCAAAAUAUAUGACUUAAAAAUAUCUUAAUUACAGAUUGGUUAAAUAAAUCAAAGCAUAGCCAUAUAUUGGAAUAUUCUGCAGUUAUUUAAAAAUCGUGCAUUAAAAGAAUUUUCACUUAUGUUGGAAAUUUUUAAUUAGCAUACAAAAUCACAUGUG